GGGGAUUUAGCUCAGUGGUAGAGCACUUGCCUUAGCAAGCGCCAGGCCCUGGGUUCGGUCCCCAGCUCCG
rnacentral:tRNA from 1 species